rnacentral:rRNA from 1 species
CCUACGGGAGGCUGCAGUAGGGAAUAUUGCUCAAUGGGGGAAACCCUGAAGCAGCAACGCCGCGUGGAGGAUGAAGGUUUUCGGAUUGUAAACUUCUUUUGUUAGAGAAGAAAAUGACGGUAUCUAACGAAUAAGCACCGGCUAACUCCGUGCCAGCAGCCGCGGUAAUACGGAGGGUGCAAGCGGUACUCGGAAUCACUGGGCGUAAAGAGGGCGUAGGCGGGAUAGCAAGUCAGAUGUGAAAUCCUAUGGCUUAACCAUAGAACUGCAUUUGAAACUGUUGUUCUAGAGUAUGGGAGAGGUAGGUGGAAUUCUUGGUGUAGGGGUAAAAUCCGUAGAGAUCAAGAGGAAUACUCAUUGCGAAGGCGACCUGCUAGAACAUAACUGACGCUGAUGCGCGAAAGCGUGGGGAGCAAACAGGAUUAGAUACCCCAGUAGUC